rnacentral:rRNA from 1 species
UACGUAGGUGUCGAGCGUUGUCCGGAUUUAUUGGGCGUAAAGCGCCCGCAGGCGGCUUGGCAAGUUUGAGGUGAAAUCUCCCGGCUCAACUGGGAGGGUGCCUCGAAAACUGCCAGGCUUGAGUCAUGGAGAGGGAUGUGGAAUUCCCGGUGUAGUGGUGAAAUGCGUAGAUAUCGGGAGGAACACCAGUGGCGAAGGCGACUUUCUGGCCUGUUCUUGACGCUGAGGCGGCGAAAAGCUAGGGGAGCCAAACGGGG